UACGUAGGGUGCGAGCGUUGUCCGGAAUUACUGGGCGUAAAGAGCUCGUAGGUGGUUUGUCGCGUUGUCCGUGAAAACUCACAACUCAAUUGUGGGCGUGCGGGCGAUACGGGCAGACUGGAGUACUGCAGGGGAGACUGGAAUUCCUGGUGUAGCGGUGGAAUGCGCAGAUAUCAGGGGGAACACCGGUGGCGAAGGCGGGUCUCUGGGCCGAUACUGACGCUGAGGAGCGAAAGCGUGGGGAGCGAACAGG
rnacentral:rRNA from 1 species